CAAAAUUUGGUUUUCCACAAAAAUUAAAGUGACUGGUGCAGACUUAAGAUAAAAUUCUAAUAAUUUUGGUAUUUAUUUUAAAAGAUCAGUGCAGUUUGCAUAUAAUUUCUAGUUUCGAUUAAAAUUAUUAAAACCUAACUAGAGUAUUUGUGUGGAAUCAAAUUGUGACAUGUCUUACCAACAUAAGUGAGCCUCUGAAAAGUUUGUUUUUAAUAUUUUCUUGUAGAGCACACAAACUUGCCAUGAAACACAUUAUUGAAUGAAGCUUCUAUUUGGACCAAGAAUUUGCAGACAAGGUAUUCUUGUCUAACAGCGUAUGAUUUGGAGGGGUGGUCCAGAGUCGUAAAUCUAAUGGCUAUAGUGACGUUUU